rnacentral:tRNA from 1 species
GAGGGUGUAGCUCAGUGGUAGAGCGCGUGCUUAGCGUGCACGAGGUCCUGGGUUCAGUCCCUAGGACCUCCA